CCAAGAUUGGACGCAGGGGCAAAAAGCAUUAAAAAAAUAAAACAACCCCAAGCCUUCUUGUGCUCUUCUCCCCCUUUCUUCCUGCCCAGGGUGGCCCUGCCUUCUCAGAGCCAGUGUGUCAUGUGGGGCUGGGUCUCAGGGGCAGGGGCCGCCUCUCCUCCUCCUCCUCGCCCGCUCUCCGGCAGCCACUAAGAGCUGCCAUGGGGAGGAAGUGGCAGCACCAGGAGAGGCAAAGGGGUGCUCCCUCACAGUCGCAGUUUGAGAUGGCUCAUCCUUUCCCCCUAAGUUCAGCAGCAGCAGCAGCACUGGCAGGGGAAAUUGGGACGUUCUGGGAUCAAAUCAGAAGCCAGGAUUGCUUUUGUAAUUCCAGCACUGAAAAAUCAGGACACUUGGAGGAUAUGAAAUAUGCAGAGGCCAUGUUGGUGAAGACUCUUCUAGGAACAAAAAAGGAAGGGGAAGGUUUAAAGAAGGUGUGCAAUCCACUAGGAAACUUCCUGCUUUGGAUAGUAGACGCCUCCUCUGUGAUUCGGUACUUUGCAAGGAUUAUAGGAAUUGCUGCAACAUAAUGAUUUGCAAAGAUUUGAUGCCAAUUGUUUUGACAAUCCCAGCAUCAAAACGGCUUUUAAAAUGUAAGCUGGGUUGCUUAGAACAUGAUUUGUGGGUGUGUUUCUGGGCUACAGCGGCCUUUGUCCCAGACCGUCGGCCAGAACGGCUGAUGAGAACUGAGAGAGCCCAACAAUCUCUGGCCUACAGCUUUAAAGCUUAAGCCAGUGGUGUCCAAACUUUUUUUCAAAGAGGUCCAGAUUUGAUGAAGUGAAGGGCCGUGGGGCUGACCAAAGGACCAACCAAAGUUGUUGACCUUUUUUUAGAGUUUAAAUUGUUGAGCUUUUUUUUAGAAUUGGAGGGGUGUUUUUUUUAGGAUUU